rnacentral:rRNA from 1 species
GGCGAGUGGCGAACGGGUGAGUAAUACAUCGGAACGUGCCCUGUAGUGGGGGAUAACUAGUCGAAAGAUUAGCUAAUACCGCAUACGACCUGAGGGUGAAAGUGGGGGACCGCAAGGCCUCAUGCUAUAGGAGCGGCCGAUGUCUGAUUAGCUAGUUGGUGAGGUAAAGGCUCACCAAGGCGACGAUCAGUAGCUGGUCUGAGAGGACGAUCAGCCACACUGGGACUGAGACACGGCCCAGACUCCUACGGGAGGCAGCAGUGGGGAACUUUGGACAAUGGGCGAAAGCCUGAUCCAGCAAUGCCGCGUGUGUGAAGAAGGCCUUCGGGUUGUAAAGCACUUUUGUCCGGAAAGAAAUGGCUCUGGUUAAUACCUGGGGUCGAUGACGGUACCGGAAGAAUAAGGACCGGCUAACUACGUGCCAGCAGCCGCGGUAAUACGUAGGGUCCAAGCGUUAAUCGGAAUUACUGGGCGUAAAGCGUGCGCAGGCGGUUGUGCAAGACCGAUGUGAAAUCCCCGAGCUUAACUUGGGAAUUGCAUUGGUGACUGCACGGCUAGAGUGUGUCAGAGGGGGGUAGAAUUCCACGUGUAGCAGUGAAAUGCCUAGAGAUGUGGAGGAAUACCGAUGGCGAAGGCAGCCCCCUGGGAUAACACUGACGCUCAUGCACGA